AGACAGAGAGCAAAGGCUCCACACUGGGAAGGUCUGCAAAGGCUGGCGACAUCACAAAGACAGAGAGUGCCAAAUUUACUAAAAACACAAAGGCUCAUGGGAAUGAAUUCAAAAGAGAAUGGACUGGGUGCAGUGGCUCAUGUCUGUAAUCCCAGCACUUUGGGAGACCGAGGAGGGUGAAUUACUUGAGGUCCAGAGUUCAAGACCAGCCUGACCAACAUAGUGAAACCGUGUCUCUACUAAAAAUACAAAAGUUUGCUGGGCGUGAUGAUGGGUGCCAAUAUCCCAGCUACUCGGGAGGCUGAGGUAGGAAAAUUGCUUGAACCAGGGAGACAGAGGUUGCAGUGAGUCGGAAUGGCACCAUUUUACUCCAGCUUGGGUGACAGAGUGAGACUCUGUCUCAAAAAAAAAAGAACCUUAAAAGGCUGAAUUUGAAUGAAGUAAUUUGGAGAAAUCUGGUGUUGAAAAUAGAUGCAAUGAGUUAAAACGUUGUGGCAUGUUAGGAAAAGGUCAUCAAAUCUGACGGGGAAAAAAGAGGCGAGAAAGGAAGAAAGGAAAGAAAGAGAUGGAAAGAAAAACAAAAAAGACAGAAGGAAGGAGAAAGAAAGAGGGAAGAAAGGCGGGAGAGAGGAAAAGAAAGAAAACAGUAUGAAGGAAAGAGAAGCAUGACUUUUAGUCUGAAUAGGCAUCAUCCUGAUUGGACAUUUGUCACAACAAAGAAAACAAUCACAGAGACCAUAAGAGUCUUUUAACCUACCGGGUCAUAAACCCUGAGCAACCAAGCAACAGGACCACUGACAUCCCAAGUCCUGGGGGUCUGACCUUUCAGAUUGGUAAAAAUCAACCUCUGCAUGAAGCAGCCUUAACCUUUCCUGCAUUCCUCUUGAAUGGCAACUUUUAAACCUGUUACCAACUAAACAAGAAAAGACUCCGAAGGUGGACCUGACACAGGAGGUGGCCAUGCUGUCCAUCUGUCCAUCUGCAGCUACAGGGGCUCCCCCAUCCACCCACUGCCCCUACCAGGGAACCUUCACAGGCCACUGUUAAGAGAAAACCAUCUCUUCCUUCCAUUCUUGUUUACAUGACAACUUUUUUAAUGAGGUAGUCCUACGCCUCUGAUUCCACCUAUUACCUCGCCCUGCAAUUUCAGCUACUUGGGAGGCUGAAGCAAAAUAAUCACUUGAACCCAGGAGACAGAGAUUGUAGUAAGUCAAGAUUGCACCACUGCACUCCAGCCUGAGCAACAAGAGUGAAACUCCAUCUCAAAAAAAGAAAAAAAAAAUCUGUCCUACUUGAGGUAAUCAAGGUUGCACACUACUUUACUCAAAUUAACUUAAAUUUCUGCCUUCACAAACAAGUCCUUAAUCCAUCUGGACUUAUUUUUCUCUGUGAUUUUAAUUUUCCUUUUAUAUGUAUUUCUAAUUUUUCUAUUAUAAAAAAUGGAUUGUUAUUUUAAUUGGAAAUGAAAAAAAUUCAAACAAAUCAAUUAUUUCAUAAUACAUAUAAGUCUUCUGCAUAUUAGUACAAAAUAAUGUAAUUUUCCCUCAAAGGCUUUUUGCAUUAUUUUUAAGGUUUUGAAAAGUAAGAUAGAUUUUUUUUUUUUUUUAAUUGUAGCGAAGUAAGACAUCACCAGCUUUCCACAAGCAGGUGUUAGGUGUCUAGUAUUUCCCAGGAAGAACUCCACUAAAUGUCAAGGACAUGAAGAAUUUAAAAUAGUUUUUAAAGUUGCUUUCCUCCAAAGAAUUCACCUGCUAAUGUGAGCAGCCACAUUCCAAAGGCAAUUACAAAUUGUAAUGUGAAGAUAAAGAUGUUGUAGAUGCCUUUUACAAGCAUGGAGAACGUAACCAUUUCAGAGCAGAAAGACCUAGAGGAUCAGAGGAGGUAUUCUCUGGGCUGACUGGGAGUCAGGCCUGUUGGACAAGGGAAAAACUGGGAUCAAACAGCCCAGGAGCAAAGCCAUGAGCAGGAAUGAUUUGAUGAUACCUCAUUGGAAAGCAUUAGCAAGGGAGCCGAUGGUUGAGUUGAGCUAAGACUGGAUAACCAUGCACAGUUUAACUGUGCUGGGCCUUUUCCUCUAGCUAAGAGCUUCUCAGAUGCUUUCCCUGCAUGCUUCACCUGCAUAGGAGAAGGAAAAUAAAGGCCCCACUGGUGCCAAAGGGGCCACCUGCUGGCUGUUCCAAAUACCUUCGAAGCUGCAUUUGAUCAGGCAGAGGCCUGUGUCCCUUCCAUUCUAUUCCAUUCCUUUGCAUUCCAAGAUAACCGUUUAUGAAACCUGAGAGGAAAGAUGACGCCCCGGGAAGGUAGACCGAGCUUGCCUGUUGCUGUCAAAGCUGCAGCCGACAGCCCGGCCUUUGGUGGGGGCACGGCCUGCGAGAUCAGGAGCCUCGGGUGGCUUUGGAUCCUUGAAGAGGUGACAUGCUUGGACAUGAAAUUCAGAUACAUUAUGCUAUGGCGUGAAUUGUGUCCCAAAGAAAAAAGAUAUUCGAGUCCAGAUUCCAGUCCCUCAGAAAGUGACUUUAUUUAGGAAUGGGGUCUUUGCAUAGACAAUCAAUAUGUAACGGGUCAUUAGAGUGGGCUCUAAUCCGGUAGGACUGGAAUCCUUAUACAAAGGAGAAAUUGGAGCCAGAGAGAUGGGCGUAGAGAGAGAGGAUGAUGUGAAGACACACAGGGCUGUGUAGCUGGACAUGCUGUCUCUAUAAGCCAGGGAAUGCAAGGAUUGCCAGCCAUCAACAGAAGCUGGAAGAGGCAAGAUAGGAUCCUCUCCCAGCAGCACCGUGAGAUGGAGCAUGGCCCGGCCAACACCUGGACUUCAGACUUGUGGCCUCCAGAACAGUGAGGCAAUAAAUUGUGGUUUUAAGCCACCCAGUUUCUGAUAUUUUGUUACAGCAGCCCCAGGACGUGAAUCCUAGAGGGAUCCCUCUAACAGCUAGGUGGAGUACAGAUGUAAGGUGCAAAGGGAAUUCUGGGCGUGGAGAACCCACGGGGGAGCGUCUUUUAUUAAUCCUGGAGAAAGAAUGGAAGUCAGACCUAAGAUACUGAGAACAGGGAGGAGGAGAAAGAUUUGAGAAACAUUCAGGAGGUAAAAACCGGCGAGGUAAACUUGGCAUGGGUGAGUUGUGUGAGGUCAAAGACCAAGAUGGCCUCGAAGAUCUCCUCCUGUGGUCCAGAAGUCCACUAGGAAGCCCCAGCAGCUCUUGGACAUUCCUGCGCAUCCAAAAUCCCAGGUGUCUGCACUCAUCACCUUUUGCUGCGAGAACAAAGGUCCCCAAAUCUCCGAUUCUGGAAACCGCAGACAUGCAUGUCCUGCCAUUCGCAGUUGGCUCUGUGGCCUCUGCUGCUGGUUCUGGACUGAGCUCAGGGCUGCUCUGUGUGUGACCCUCUCGGGGACACAUGCUCAGUGAAUGGGGGCUGCCGUGACAGGCUCUCCCCACAGGAGCUGAGGGCUGAGGGCUGUGGGCUGAGCUGAGACACACACUGUCCUUUCUGGAACAGGCACGCAGCCACCGCUUUCUUCUGGUAGACACAAGGCACACCAUCGGGCCCUAUUUCAGCGGGUCAGUGCAGUACAGUCCACCGACUAAGAGCCACUGCAAAGCCACAGCUGAGGGAAGGCAUGCUAGAGCAGUGGAUUAGCAGUUCUCUUGUUGUCUGUAUUCUCAUGCUUUGAUAUCUGGGGCCUUGCCCCUCAGAGUUAGCCAAUCCUUAGAGAGAGUAGGCAACUCUCCUGAGAGCACCCCUUUCAAAUGCAAACCAAGCAAUGCAGAGCCCACAUCCCCAGCUCCUUCCUUCAGGAGGUUCUCACACUCCAGUCUCUAUCCACUGGCCUCUAUCUUCCCAGAACCAAGUACCAGAUGACUAGGCACAGCCUCUGUGCCUCAGAGCUGCUGCAAUUAUGUACGCUAGCAAAUCCUAAACCUGCCUGCCCUGUCUUCUCAGUUCUUCCCAUGGAAAUCACAAGAAAGGCUCUCCCCCGCAGUUUCUUCUCUCUUCCUCUACUUCCUAACCCCAGGGCUCAGGCACAUGACCCCCAUGCUCUGUGUGCCCUCUGGGGAUCUGUAAGUCUAACCAAUUCCUUUCCUAACCCCAGGGCUUCCCCAUGUGACUCCCCUACCCCAUGCUUUGUGUGCCCCUCCUAGAAUCUGUGAGUCUAGCCAACUCCCUUCUCAAUGACACUGUGUCCUGAUCCGUUGGCCUUACUGUAUCUCUGAUGCCCUACUUCAAAGCCAGCAAAAAUCUGAUUCUAUCACAGCAUCUUUAGAAUUUCAUAGUGACACACCAAAAACUCAAAUCUAGGGGAUGACAGAAGCCUCAUUGAACCCAGGUGCCACAUCUGCAGAAUGGAAAACUCAGCAGAAAUAUCUAAGGUCUGAGAAAAUAAAUCUUGGGGUUCCCCCGCCAUCACUAAGCUAAAGGGAAAAGUCAAGAUGUGAACUGCUUAGGGCCAACCUGCCUCCGUUCUAUUCAAAGUCACCUCUCUGCUCACUGAGAUAAAUGCGUAUCUGAUUGCCUCCCUUGGAGAGGCUAACCAGAAAUUCAAGAGAACGCAACCAUUUCUCUCUUAUCUACCUAUGACCUGGAAGCCCCUCGCUUGCUUUGAGUCUUCCGCCUUUGCUUCAAGUUGUCCUGCCUUUCCAGACAGAACCAGUGUUCAUCUUGCAUGUGUCGGCUGAUGUCUCAUGUCUCCCUAGAAUGUAUAAAACCAAACUGUGCUCUGAUCACCUUGGCGCACAUCCUCAGGACCUCCUGAGGCUGUUCCAUGGGCGCACAUCUUCAACGUUGGCAAAAUAAACUUUCUAAAUGAACUGAGACCUGUCUCAGAUUUUCGGGGGACACAGGCCAGAUGGAACACUCCAAACUCACUGCUCUUUCUAGACCAAGGAGCAUAACGGGGACAUCUGAGGCUAAGCAGGGAGUUGAUGGAUUGGCCAUGGUCAAGUUCGGAAAGCUUUGUCUGAAGGUUGUAGAACGUCUCUGGAGGUGCUGGGACCCCGGUUCCCAGGGAGGGAGGUAGUACCAACUCUGUCCUGCUCCACUCUUUUCGGUGGGUGUUGCAAUUUGCCUUGUUUGUUCUUGAAACAAGAGAGUGAAAGAACCAGGUGGAGAGACUUCAGCUUGUGGUCUCCUCUUGGGGAAAGUUUCCUGGAACAAGAUGUGAAGGGUGGGGCUGUUUUGAAGGCAGUGGUUCUCCUCCAGUGCAGGAGCCAGCCUCUCUGGCUCCCUGGAUAAGGCCCAGUUCAGAGAUCAGAUAAGCCGUGAGAAAUGCAUCAGAGCAGAAUGCGGGCAGUUAGAAACACGUCUGCCUUUGGCUGGCUGAGUGGAAAGACUUAGCAGCUGACCGGAGGGAAGAGCCAAGUGAGGAGGUAGCCGAAGUUUACAGACUGAAGUUUAGAGCCUCAGGAAACAGCCAUGGUUUUAGAAACGCUGCACCCAACCGUCAAUGCAGGCGCAAGCUGCGGUCCCGCCCUGGGAUGGAUGAGUGAUUUACCCUGCAGGCAGCUCAGUCCCACCGCAAAUAUUUGAGGGCUCUGAGAGGAACACAAAGAGACUCCCAUGCCAAGUGACUAAUAUUUAACAGCUAUAAAUCAGACUGUCACACUGUUGAUGGAACAUGUUCUAUCCUCUCACCUUCUCCUCCUGUGCUCCUAAGACAGCCUGGACCACCAGGUGAAAUGGAGGACCUUUGGCCUCCCAAAAGUCCUGCACCAGAAUCAGACAGCACGAAGAGGGCAGGUUCUUGGCCUGCAGCCCCUCCCCUUUCUCUUCCUAUAGGCAAGACCAUCCUCAGCCUCCAGGGUCUCAUGCACUCCCACACCGGACCCCUCGGCUUGCACCUCUAAGCUGUGUCAUGGUCUCACAGCGGCUACCAUUCGGGCCUACAACACACCCUGGGAGCAUGGUCUCACCUUGGGGUUCCAACCCAAGGAAGGAACUUCCAAAGGCCCUAGACAGAGGCUGGGGCAAGUAAUUCUGAGGUCACAAGAACCCAGAGAAUGAUUAAUAAGGAGAAGGGACAUAGAUCUGGCCAGAGGGAAGCUUUCUUAAUGCCAGGCCCCAGCAGGACCUCUCUCACCUGGGUCUCCAACUGGUGCAGAGAUGAAAAAGCCCAAAAAAGUUUCCACUUGGCUCCGAAGGUUGGAUUCAGAAAGCUUCCCAGGUUAAGAGAGGGAGUCAUGGACUAACCCUGUUCCAGCUAGGGUGAAAAGAGAUUCCUGCAGGAGACAGAGAUGCUCCCUGCAGACACCCUCCUACCAGUAAAUGGAAAAACAGACACUCAGACUCUAUAUAUGUGUGUGUGCAUGUGCGGGCACGGGUGUGUGCUGGUGUCCAUGUGUGUGCAUGUGGAUGUG